rnacentral:misc_RNA from 1 species
CUGAGUGAGGGCCCCUCGGGGCCCAAACCUCCCACCCGUGUUUAACGAACCUUGUUGCUUCGGCGGGCCCGCCUCACGGCCGCCGGGGGGCAUCUGCCCCCGGGUCCGCGCCCGCCGAAGCCACCUGUGAACUCUGUCUGAAGUAUGCAGUCUGAGACAAUUAUUAAAUUAAUUA